UAGUUAAAGAAACUUAAAACCUAAUUUAUGGAAACAACAACAAUUGAAGAAUGACAGAUAUCGAUUUGAAAAAAAAACUCAUAGAAAUAGUUUGUUUGCGAUGAAUAAUGUGCCAUCACAUGAAUGUAGCAAAUGUUAAUGAAGCUAUGGCAAUAAACAUAAUAUUGACACAAAAAUACCAAAUCUCAAGUUCAUCUAAAUCUGAAAGAAUCUGAAAAAAAUGUUUUUUUUUUCCUUAUUUUUACCAUUACUAAUGAUUUACUGAGUUUUAUAAAAUAAAUAUAUUAGUUUCUGUGUUUAACAUAUAUUUAGGAAGAUUGAGAGGCAUUUUAAUUAUUAUUAUUUUUUAUUGUUCUUUUUAUUUAUUCAAAAUAAGUUUUACAAUAAAAGAAUGAAUAAAAUACAUAAAAUAAGAAGUACAAAUUUUGUUGAAUUGACAAUAAGAACGCAGAUACUAGUUAUAUAUUUAUAUUUUAUAUGUUUACUUUACAUUAAGAACAGGGAUACUUGCAAGAAGAUCAUAAGAUCUUUUCAUCGAGAACCACUGCUCCUCAACACCAUAUACCAGACACAGGUAGUAAAUUAAAUCCUUCUCUGUUCCCUUGCUGACAAGUUUAUGUUGCAGUUAGAUAUACAGAUUUCAUCUGGAUAUUGCCAAUAAUGAAGAUCAUUAUAUUCAGUUGAAAUGGAUGCGCAAGCACUAAAAAAGAAAAUAACGUUAGAAGUUGAAGCAGAAAUUUAUAAAGAAUCAUGUUGACGUCUGGAUAUGAAUUGCAGAAAAGCAUGAUUGUAGAAUGGUUAUGAAUCAAAUCAUUUUAUAAUAAUUUUUUUUAGUCGCGUAAAUAUAUUUUGAAAUUUAA